GGUGACCCGCAAAUUAAUUUAGCGAACAGACUUUUUCCCAAUGAAUUCCCAAAAUAGACAUGAUAACUCAAAAGAAAGGAGAAGAGGACCAUGACGUCAAUGUAAAUAAAAUUGGGCGCCGAAGGUUACCGCCCUCCAGUCUCUACCAAGUACUCAAAAAAAUUCAAAUAGGAAAUCCAGAAAAAUAGACGACGACGUUGGUUACAAUCACAUCACUUUGACAUUACAUGCUGCUGCUGCUGCAACUGCUUCUCCAAUCUAUUUGUUUGUAUUUGUUUUAGGUUAGAACUAGGGUUUACUUUCUUCUCUUUUUUUUUUUUUUUUUCUUAAAUUGAGAAAUAUGGAGAAAGCAACUAGUAGUGCUGCUUCUGCUUCUGCUGCUGCUCCUGCUAAAAUAGGAGGAGGAGGAUCAAGGAGGCAAUCCGAUCUCAACAGAUCCUUCAAGCUCGCUAUUCGCUCUCUCCUCACUUCCUGCUCCAAACAGGAGUUGGCAAAAGCAUUUUCCAAGUUUAGUAAUGCAGAGCAGGAAAGUCUUCACCGUCUUUUCAUUCAGGUUAUUACUUCUUUGCAUAAAAUGGUAGAGGAUGAGUUCGAGUCUCUAUGCCUCGAAACACAGGUGGGAACUGCUCUUGAGACUGUGGAGCAACUUGUAGAAGAGCAAAAUCUGGACCCUUUGUUCUCAGAAAAGUCUAAUAUAAUGGAUGCUGCAAAGAGUCUAUCAAUGGAGAAGAAAAAUGAGAUCCACUAUUUGAUGGGCAUGCUGGAAAAGGCUGAAGAGCAGAAUCGCCGUAUCCGAGAUCGUGUUGAACUACUCAAGCAAAAAAUGCCUGAUGACUCGGGCAUCUCAGUUGUCAUGGAGAAGUUCAAAAGUGGCAAUUUAAGUUAUGGAACAUGCAGUAAUGGGAUUUAACACGCCACCAAUGGAGUAAUAUAUUUACCCAGGAAUCGAUGAGCAGAGCUGCAUGGCAAGAGAAAGGAGAAAGCGAAAGCGAAAGCUCAUUAAGUUGUAGGUGUCAUGCGUCGAAGCCUUUAAGGUAAGGAAGGGGGGGCGUUCGUCAGUGCUUGCUUCAAUCGAUGGCGUAUAUUAUAUAAGAACAUAAACAUAGAGUAGAGUGAAAGGGUCCACCCCGAAAGCCGGGUAAGGACAGUUUUCACAUGCCACAGUUAGGACUUGCAAGUACGAUACUGACAUGGAAUGGGGUUUGUUAAAUUUGUAGGUCUUCAUUAAACCACCUGUGCAACCAAAUUGAUGGUAUACGUUGCUUAUCAGUGCAUCCCAAAAUUAUGCACCUAGCGGUGGUCACAAUGCAUGAGGUUAGACUGUUUUAGGAACCAUAAUUUGUCUAGGUACGUAGCUGGUUCAUGCGGCUCUGAUUUCUCUGUUUUCAUCUUAUGCAUAUACAUGUAGAGAAAAAACCAGCUUGUUGUGCCCACACCAUGCUCUUGAAACUCAUUUUUGCAAUUUUGUUCUGCGAAAAUGAUUUUCAUCUCAUGCAUAUAAAUGUGCAGAAAAAAACGAUCUUUGUUCUGCCCACACCAUGUUCAUGAAACUCGUACCUGGAAAGUACUUGCUGUUUCAAGGACCACGAUAGCAACCUUUAGCCAAACUCGUAGUGAAUUAACCUACCAUUAAAUGUUAGUGGCAAUGAGUUGUCUUGAGAA